GGGGCGGGCAGCCAGGGGCCCAGAAGAGCGCGAGCGGGCAGAGCGGCGGGGGAGGGGGCGGGCCCCCGGGGCUCCAAUCCUCUGCCUCAUUCCCAGCCCUAGGCUACUCACCUGGGCCUACUUCGCCCCCAGAGGUGAAGCUGGAGGAGCGGGGUCUGCCUUGGUCGCAGGGGCCCGGGAGGCUGGCGGGGUGUUUUUCCAGCAACAGACACCUGGGAGCCUCGAUGCCUGGUCAGCCCGGGACCCCGUCGGGCAGGCAGCCGGUUGCAGGGGGACUGCCUGUACCGUUGCAAGCUGCCCCCUGACAAGGGGUGUGGGGGUGCCCGUUUUAUUCGGGAGGCUGCUGGGGUGAUCCCGGCUGUCCCGAAUCUCCACCGGUUUCCAGGGCCUCGGGCUGGCUGACAGGCAGAGCGGAGGGAUCUGGGAGCCUUGCAAGACCUGACUGCGGCGUGCUGACCGUGGUACCCUCAAUGAGCGGCACCUGGGAGCCUGGUUUGCUGCAGAAACCCGGGCCUUCCAAACAAAGCUGCAAGAGCUCCGUGUUCGUCUAUGUGGAUGUGGAGGUAUGUGACAGAUAAGGUAUUAUUGCCAAAAUUAAUUUGUAAAAGGGCUCUGUUUAAUGGGCUUAAAGAAAAUUGAGCAUUUACAUACACUUAGUAUUCAUAAAAAUUCUCAAAAAUAAAAUAGAAACUAAAUCCAAAUGAAUUUCCAGUUCACAUGAUCUGGGAAAAUAUUUGAUAGUAAGACAAAUUUAAGGUUGUGGGUUUAAUUAAAAGUUUUCCAUCUUCAGAGUUAUGAGCCUUAGAAUUAAACUCAUUGGACUUUCAGUAAACCCAGGAAAAAUAAAAGUUUUAUGUUAUCUAGGUUCCAGAAUUUCUCAACACCACCACCACAGCUGGAGAGAAUGGUGGACUUUGCUGGACAGACAGCUCGUGCAGUUUUCGUGGCUGAUGGACACGUGGCUGUUGAGAGCGCAUUACCUGAAUAGGUAGGUAGAAAUAAUUCCCCUCCAUAUUUUUGGUAACCUGAAACAUUGACAUUUUGCUAAGUGAUGAGUUAAAUCUGUCGAAAGCCUAGGAGACAGAGCAGGGACUAGACUCGGGCCCCCCGCUCCAACCCCCAGCUCCAGUAUCCCGGAUCGGCAGCGCCCCCGAGUGGUGGGGCUCCCAGGAAAGCCAGAACGCUGUGCCCUUGGACGGCACAUCCUGCAGGCGAUGGAGGGACUCUGAAGGCUGGUGAAGACGGGACCAAACCAGCCUGUGCCAAGAUGGAGCCCGGUGCCCCACUCUACCUACCUCCCCCCGGUUCUCCUAGUAAAUCACGCCCAGGGGUCGAACAUGCCAACGAGACACGUGAUGUAUGCAGAAGCACGUUCUGGGCACUGUGCCCCCGGCCUCUCCCUGCCCCCACGUGCUCAGGCGUCACCCUUUCCCUGGCCUAGGACACUGGCGCUCUGUGCUGGCUCCCUGGUCCCUGGUGCUCGGGCGUCAGCCCCAGAGAAGCCGUGUCUGGAAUUCCUGCUGGGCGUCUACUGCUUGGAGAGCCCGAGGACCUAGCUGUGCACCUAGGUCACUCCAAAUAAGGUGGUUAUCGUGUUAUUCUGAAGCUUUUGCACAAGUGCCCCCUCCUCAAGGGGACUCAGGUGAGGACAGACCCAGACUCCGAGAUACGGAUCUCCAAUAAUUGAAGACCUUUGACCUGCGUGCAGAUUCACAGAACUCUGAGGGAGAACCCGCUGGCUUCAGGAAACCAUGACAAAGAGCAAGAGCGACCACAGUUCCUUACCUGGGCC